rnacentral:rRNA from 1 species
AACCUCCGCAAUGUGAGAAAUCGCGACGGGGGGAUCCCAAGUGCCAUUCUUAACGGGAUGGCUUUUCUUAAGUGUAAAAAGCUUUUGGAAUAAGAGCUGGGCAAGACCGGUGCCAGCCGCCGCGGUAACACCGGCAGCUCUAGUGGUAGCAAUUUUUAUUGGGCCUAAAGCGUCCGUAGCCGGUUUAAUAAGUCUCUGGUGAAAUCCUGUAGCUUAACUGUGGGAAUUGCUGGAGAUACUAUUAGACUUGAGACCGGGAGAGGUUAGAGGUACUCCCAGGGUAGAGGUGAAAUUCUGUAAUCCUGGGAGGACCGCCUGUUGCGAAGGCGUCUAACUGGAACGGUUCUGACGGUGAGGGACGAAAGUUAGGGGCGCGAACCGGAUUAGAUACCCGGGUAGUCCUAACUGUAAACGAUGCGGACUUGGUGUUGGGGUGGCUUUGAGCUGCUUCAGUGCCGAAGGGAAGCUGUUAAGUCCGCCGCCUGGGAAGUACGGUCGCAAGACUGAAACUUAAAGGAAUU